rnacentral:rRNA from 1 species
GAUGAACGCUGGCGGCGUGCCUAAUACAUGCAAGUCGAGCGAACAGACGAGGAGCUUGCUCCUCUGACGUUAGCGGCGGACGGGUGAGUAACACGUGGAUAACCUACCUAUAAGACUGGGAUAACUUCGGGAAACCGGAGCUAAUACCGGAUAAUAUAUUGAACCGCAUGGUUCAAUAGUGAAAGACGGUUUUGCUGUCACUUAUAGAUGGAUCCGCGCCGCAUUAGCUAGUUGGUAAGGUAACGGCUUACCAAGGCGACGAUGCGUAGCCGACCUGAGAGGGUGAUCGGCCACACGGGAACUGAGACACGGUCCAGACUCCUACGGGAGGCAGCAGUAGGGAAUCUUCCGCAAUGGGCGAAAGCCUGACGGAGCAACGCCGCGUGAGUGAUGAAGGUCUUCGGAUCGUAAAACUCUGUUAUUAGGGAAGAACAAAUGUGUAAGCAACUAUGCACGUCUUGACGGUACCUAAUCAGAAAGCCACGGCUAACUACGUG